rnacentral:rRNA from 1 species
UACGGGGGGCGCAAGCGUUGUUCGGAUUUACUGGGCGUAAAGGGCGCGUAGGCGGCCACCGCAAGUCGGUUGUGAAAUCUCUGGGCUUAACCCAGAAAGGUCAACCGAUACUGCGGGGCUAGAGUGCAGAAGGGGCAACUGGAAUUCUCGGUGUAGCGGUGAAAUGCGUAGAUAUCGAGAGGACCACCUGCGGCGAAGGCGGGUUGCUGGGCUGACACUGACGCUGAUGCGCGAAAGCUAGGGGAGCGAACGGG